AGGGAGCUUGCUCCCGGAUGUUAGCGGCGGACGGGUGAGUAACACGUGGGUAACCUGCCUGUAAGACUGGGAUAACUCCGGGAAACCGGAGCUAAUACCGGAUAGUUCCUUGAACCGCAUGGUUCAAGGAUGAAAGACGGUUUCGGCUGUCACUUACAGAUGGACCCGCGGCGCAUUAGCUAGUUGGUGGGGUAAUGGCUCACCAAGGCGACGAUGCGUAGCCGACCUGAGAGGGUGAUCGGCCACACUGGGACUGAGACACGGCCCAGACUCCUACGGGAGGCAGCAGUAGGGAAUCUUCCGCAAUGGACGAAAGUCUGACGGAGCAACGCCGCGUGAGUGAUGAAGGUUUUCGGAUCGUAAAGCUCUGUUGUUAGGGAAGAACAAGUGCGAGAGUAACUGCUCGCACCUUGACGGUACCUAACCAGAAAGCCACGGCUAACUACGUGCCAGCAGCCGCGGUAAUACGUAGGUGGCAAGCGUUGUCCGGAAUUAUUGGGCGUAAAGGGCUCGCAGGCGGUUUCUUAAGUCUGAUGUGAAAGCCCCCGGCUCAACCGGGGAGGGUCAUUGGAAACUGGGAAACUUGAGUGCAGAAGAGGAGAGUGGAAUUCCACGUGUAGCGGUGAAAUGCGUAGAGAUGUGGAGGAACACCAGUGGCGAAGGCGACUCUCUGGUCUGUAACUGACGCUGAGGAGCGAAAGCGUGGGGAGCGAACAGGAUUAGAUACCCUGGUAGUCCACGCCGUAAACGAUGAGUGCUAAGUGUUAGGGGGUUUCCGCCCCUUAGUGCUGCAGCUAACGCAUUAAGCACUCCGCCUGGGGAGUACGGUCGCAAGACUG
rnacentral:rRNA from 1 species